rnacentral:rRNA from 1 species
UGGGGAAUUUUGGACAAUGGGCGAAAGCCUGAUCCAGCAAUGCCGCGUGUGUGAAGAAGGCCUUCGGGUUGUAAAGCACUUUUGUCCGGAAAGAAAUCCUUGGCUCUAAUACAGUCGGGGGAUGACGGUACCGGAAGAAUAAGCACCGGCUAACUACGUGCCAGCAGCCGCGGUAAUACGUAGGGUGCAAGCGUUAAUCGGAAUUACUGGGCGUAAAGCGUGCGCAGGCGGUUUGCUAAGACCGAUGUGAAAUCCCCGGGCUCAACCUGGGAACUGCAUUGGUGACUGGCAGGCUAGAGUAUGGCAGAGGGGGGUAGAAUUCCACGUGUAGCAGUGAAAUGCGUAGAGAUGUGGAGGAAUACCGAUGGCGAAGGCAGCCCCCCUGGGCCAAUACUGACGCUCAUGCACGAAAGCGUGGGGAGCAAACAGGAUUAGAUACCCUGGUAGUCCACGCCCUAAACGAUGUCAACUAGUUGUUGGGGAUUCAUUUCCUUAGUAACGUAGCUAACGCGUGAAGUUGACCGUCUGGGGAGUACGGUCGCAAGAUUAAAACUUAAAUGAAUUGACGGGGUCAUAGCUGUUUCCU